GGGCUUGUCUUGGUUUCGACGUAUAUCACAAAGCAUUUUGAGCAGCCAUUUGUAGAAGGAAACUACAUUAAAAACCAAAUACUAAAAUAAUUGCAGACGAUAGUCUUGCACUUGCUGCCUAAGAAAUACUGGUAGCUGCCUUAAUUUUAUAUACUUGCGGAUAAUUUUAAGGUAUCGUGUUUAGCAAGCAACCUUGCAAUUAUUGUUGGAGUAAUUGCAAGAGGAAUUAUCCGACUACUAUUAUAUAAUAUUUGUUAUUUGUUAUUAGUAAUAGGAAAUUUUACACAAAUGACUAUGAUGGUAGAUACUCUUAUGACUUAGAUGUACGGACGCGGGUUCGAUUCCCGCCAGGUCCA
rnacentral:tmRNA from 1 species